rnacentral:rRNA from 1 species
GGACCUGACUGCUAUCGGAUUGAUACUAAGCCAUGCGAGUCAUUGUAGCAAUACAAGGCAUACGGCUCAGUAACGCGUAGUCAACCUAACCUAUGGACGGGAAUAACCUCGGGAAACUGAGAAUAAUGCCCGAUAGAACAUUGUGCCUGGAAUGGUUUAUGUUCCAAAUGAUUUAUCGCCGUAGGAUGGGACUGCGGCCUAUCAGUUUGUUGGUGAGGUAAUGGCCCACCAAGACUAUUACAGGUACGGGCUCUGAGAGGAGUAGCCCGGAGAUGGGUACUGAGACACGGACCCAGGCCCUAUGGGGCGCAGCAGGCGAGAAAACUUUGCAAUGUGCGAAAGCACGACAAGGUUAAUCCGAGUGGUUUCUGCUAAAGAAACCUUUUGUCAGUCCUAGAAACACUGAUGAAUAAGGGGUGGGCAAGUUCUGGUGU